rnacentral:rRNA from 1 species
AGUUCGGAUUGUAGUCUGCAACUCGACUACAUGAAGCCGGAAUCGCUAGUAAUCGCGGAUCAGAAUGCCGCGGUGAAUACGUUCCCGGGUCUUGUACACACCGCCCGUCACACCAUGGGAGCCGGAAAUGCCCGAAGUCAGUGACCCAACCGCGAGGAGGGAGCUGCCGAAGGCAGGUCUGGUAACUGGGGUGAAGUCGUAACAAGGUACC